rnacentral:rRNA from 1 species
UUUGCCUACGGGAGGCAGCAGUGAGGAAUAUUGGUCAAUGGGCGAGAGCCUGAACCAGCCAAGUCGCGUGAGGGAGUACUGCCCUAUGGGUUGUAAACCUCUUUUGUCGGGGAGCAAAAGCCGGACGUGUCCGGCUGUGAGAGUACCCGAAGAAAAAGCAUCGGCUAACUCCGUGCCAGCAGCCGCGGUAAUACGGAGGAUGCGGGCGUUAUCCGGAUUUAUUGGGUUUAAAGGGUGCGUAGGUGGUUAAUUAAGUCAGCGGUGAAAGUUUGUGGCUCAACCAUAAAAUUGCCGUUGAAGCUGGU